rnacentral:rRNA from 1 species
AUUGAACGCUGGCGGCAUGCUUUACACAUGCAAGUCGAACGGUAACAGGUUAAGCUGACGAGUGGCGAACGGGUGAGUAAUGCAUCGGAACGUGCCCGAUCGUGGGGGAUAACGCAGCGAAAGCUGCGCUAAUACCGCAUACGAUCUGAGGAUGAAAGCGGGGGACCGUAAGGCCUCGCGCGAUCGGAGCGGCCGAUGUCAGGUUAGGUAGUUGGUGGGGUAAAGGCCCACCAAGCCGACGAUCUGUAGCUGGUCUGAGAGGACGACCAGCCGCACUGGGACUGGGACACGGCCCAGACUCCUACGGGAGGAAGCAGUGGGGAAUUUUGGACAAUGGGCGAAAGCCUGAUCCAGCAAUGCCGCGUGCAGGAAGAAGGCCUUCGGGUUGUAAACUGCUUUUGUACGGAGCGAAAAGGUCCUUUCUAAUACAAGGGGCUCAUGACGGUACCGUAAGAAUAAGCACCGGCUAACUACGUGCCAGCAGCCGCCGUAA